AUUGAACGCUGGCGGCAUGCCUUACACAUGCAAGUCGUACGGUAACAGGUCUUCGGAUGCUGACGAGUGGCGAACGGGUGAGUAAUACAUCGGAACGUGCCUAGUAGUGGGGGAUAACUACUCGAAAGAGUGGCUAAUACCGCAUGAGAUCUACGGAUGAAAGCAGGGGAUCGCAAGACCUUGUGCUACUAGAGCGGCCGAUGGCAGAUUAGGUAGUUGGUGGGAUAAAAGCUUACCAAGCCGACGAUCUGUAGCUGGUCGGAGAGGACGAUCAGCCACACUGGGACUGAGACACGGCCCAGACUCCUACGGGAGGCAGCAGUGGGGAAUUUUGGACAAUGGGCGAAAGCCUGAUCCAGCAAUGCCGCGUGCAGGAUGAAGGCCUUCGGGUUGUAAACUGCUUUUGUACGGAACGAAAAGCCCCGGGUUAAUACCCUGGGGUCAUGACGGUACCGUAAGAAUAAGCACCGGCUAACUACGUGCCAGCCGCCGCAGUAA
rnacentral:rRNA from 1 species